rnacentral:rRNA from 1 species
CCUACGGGAGGCAGCAGUGGGGGAUAUUGCAAAAUGGGGGGAACCCUGAUGCAGCGACGCCGCGUGGGUGAAGAAGCGCCUCGGCGCGUAAAGCCCUGUCAGCAGGGAAGAAAAUGACGGUACCUGAAGAAGAAGCCCCGGCUAACUACGUGCCAGCAGCCGCGGUAAUACGUAGGGGGCAAGCGUUAUCCGGAUUUACUGGGUGUAAAGGGAGCGUAGACGGUUAUGCAAGUCUGAAGUGAAAGCCCAAGGCUCAACCAUGGGACUGCUUUGGAAACUGUAAAACUGGAGUGCAGGAGAGGUAA